UGCAAUAUAUUUAAUUGCACACGUGCUUUCCUGCUUUGUUUGGAUCUGCAAUAUUGGUGGGCCCCAUCGCUCUCUGUGCAUAUUUGGGCGCAAUGUACGGCUGGUGUUAUUUAUGAGUUGUGCGAAUACACAACCGUGGUUACACUUUUGUAAUCGUAUAUUGUGUAGGCAUAGGUUUCAUCGAAACAUAAAUUUACGUAAUGGAUUGUGAUCUCAAUUUAUAAUGAGUUGUACACUUUAUUAUUUUGUAAAUGAUGACUGACUUUUUAAGUAAUUAAAAUAUUUGGUAAAGUGAAACUUUUCUGGUCUCUACAUGUUAAACAGUAUUUACUUGAUCACAUUUUACUAUAAUCUGUGUAUCUUAUCUUUGCAGGGUUUGAUCAUAAUGAUUAUUGAAAAUGUACAUCAAGAUAGAGAAGAAUGUAUACUCAAACGUUUGUUACAAACACCCAUUGGAGGAGAACUUCUUUUAAAAGAAACGCUAUUUACCGUCACUUAUGAUUCAUUUUAUAUAUAUGUAGUAUUCUUCUGUAAAUUAUCGAUGUCUUAGUUUAUUUAUAUCAUUACCCUACUUCAUAUCUUUAUCUUCACCUUUAAACAUAUCACUUUAUCAAUAUACAACUCCGUAAUUGAUGUUCAUAUGAUAUUGAUGUAAUUAUAUAAUCAAAAAAUAAGCUUAUAUAUACCAUCAGCUUUGUAAGGAAGAACAGUAUAUUUGUAUGCGUAAACAUUUGUUUGUUUGCUUCGUCAUGCACCCCUAGAAGCUGGAAGGUCGAGACUAGCGUGUGACCUUACCUGCCAAUUGAGCGGAAAAUGCGAACAAACAGAUGGCCAUCUUAAAGACUGAUUGUGCAUGGAUCUGAUGUGCGGGAGAGCGGGUUUAAAGCAACGCCAAGUCAGCACGUGAGGUGUAAACACUAUGCUGAAACUGUAUGACAUAUGCGAUACUUGAACGCAAACUAGAGCUUGCGUUAUUGACAUGCCAGUCUGCACUAAAGGCUUGAUACCAUAUGUGGAUACCAAGGUAUUUCUUGGGGAAGAUGACAUUAGCUACACAAAUGGUAUUUACCAACUUUUCUACAAAGAAAGUAGCUCCUCAGAUAUUGGGACUCUGUACCAGUUUCGUAAUGUUAUCAACAGAAGAGAUGUUUCAGGGCCUGAUGAGGUCAUCAAUAA